rnacentral:lncRNA from 1 species
GGACUUCAGGCAGUCAUGUGAGCAUGCUCACAGAGGCCGAGUCGUGUGGCAAGCCUCCUGGAGAAGUCUGCAGGCUUCUUGCUCCUAAGAAGCAGCCUGUCUCCUGCCUGUGGUCUUAAUUGAACCAGUCAAGCUUUCAAAAUGAACAGUUGAUCAUUUGAUUAAGAAGGGCCUUUGACUCUUUCAAGACCCGCGGAGACUGAUUUUUAUCAAAGUGGAUCAGAAAGAAGCUCAGUGUUAAAUCUGAAGCUAAACUGAAGAAACUAUGUGGUCUCUUACGACUGGUUGCCACAACAGAUGUUGCCAGGUGUCCUUGGAUAGUGACCUCCCAUAUGAAGCCACUUUCCUCUGAUCAGGCCUGACAGCUUCACACUGUGGAAGGAGCUGAGAACAAUAAUCUUUCAAGGAACAGAAAACCAGACACCACAUGUUCUCACUUAUAAGUGGGAGCUAAACAAUCAGAACACAUGGACACAGGGAGGGGAACAACACACACUAGGGCCUGUUGGGGGAUGUGGGGUCAGGGGAGGGAGAGCAUUGGGAAAAAUAGCUAACACAUACUGAGAUUAAUACCUAGGUGAUGGGUUGAUUGGUGCAGCAAACCACCAUGGCACAUGUUUACCUAUGUAACAAACCUUCACAUACUGCACAUGUACCCCAGAACCUAAAAGUAAAAUUAAAAUAAAAAAAAAUC